AUCCCCCCAACAGGAAGCCCCGUAUGCAUAAGCAGUCAUUCCCAUCUUCCCCAUCCUCCCCCAGCCCCAAGGAGCCACUUUCCUCUCUCUGUGGAUUUGCCUGUGCUGGACAUCUCAUGUAAAUCGAGUCACUUCAUUACGUUUUAGAUACUGAGACCCUCGAAUUCCCAUAUGAAUUGUAGCAGCAGCUAGUCAGUUUCUGCAGAGGAGCCCGCUGGGAUUGUGAUCGAGACACCGUUGAGUAUACGGAUCGGUCUGGGGAGCACUGCCAUACCAAGAGCGCUGUCUUCUGAUCCAGGAAUGUGCCCUCACCUCGAGUGGCAUCCAUCCAAAUACUAGCAUUGACACUGGCCGUGCUCAGAACUGCCUCAGCCCAGAAGACACAACUGACAAGUAGAAGGGGGCCACGCCCUGUUACAGCAGGUGCUCUCACUCUGUGGGUCCUUAUGUAAGUGCAUGGUUUUAUUCAGGAUCGCCCGUUCUACGUUGUGUGACGCUGCCGCGUUGUCUCCUAGUUAUUUGUUUCGGUAA